UGGGGAAUUUUGGACAAUGGGGGAAACCCUGAUCCAGCCAUCCCGCGUGUGCGAUGAAGGCCUUCGGGUUGUAAAGCACUUUUGGCAGGAAAGAAACGUCGCGGGUUAAUACCCCGCGAAACUGACGGUACCUGCAGAAUAAGCACCGGCUAACUACGUGCCAGCAGCCGCGGUGAUACGUAGGGUGCAAGCGUUAAUCGGAAUUACUGGGCGUAAAGCGUGCGCAGGCGGUUCGGAAAGAAAGAUGUGAAAUCCCAGAGCUUAACUUUGGAACUGCAUUUUUAACUACCGGGCUAGAGUGUGUCAGAGGGAGGUGGAAUUCCGCGUGUAGCAGUGAAAUGCGUAGAUAUGCGGAGGAACACCGAUGGCGAAGGCAGCCUCCUGGGAUAACACUGACGCUCAUGCACGAAAGCGUGGGGAGCAAACAGGAUUAGAUACCCUGGUAGUCCACGCCCCUAAACGAUGUCAACUAGCUGUUGGGGGCCUUCGGGCCUUGGUAGCGCAGCUAACGCGUGAAGUUGACCGCCUGGGGAGUACGGUCGC
rnacentral:rRNA from 1 species